ACCAAACAAAUAAAUUGUUGUGAUUGCUUUAAACACAGAAACAACCAAGUAAUUAAACACCCUUAGUUGCUGUGGUUGCUUCUCAUAUUCUUUGAAAAUAAGUAAAUAUUAAUUAAAAAAUAGUUUAAUGACCAUGGAAAACACCCAAAUAAAUAAUAUUAAAUUAGCUUCAAGGCUUAGAGUCUGAGACAAUCCUCUUAUUUGACAGGACAGUUCACAACAUCAUCAAAAGAUAAGAUUUGACAGGACAGUUCACAACAUCAUCAAAGGGCAAUAGACUGCCUUAUUCAAUCCAACAAGUAGAUGAAUUCACGCCUCAGAGCAGCUAAUUUUCAACCCAUGGAAAAGCCAUUCACUGACAUCCCUCCAUCAAUGCAUAUGACUUGUCCUGUUAAGAAACCUGGUGCAGGCAAGCAUAGAAAU
rnacentral:lncRNA from 1 species